AGGAGCUACAGCCCUAGUGGCGGGGCAGCUCUGGACACCUGGAUUCAGCUCUGGCAGGAACUCCGUCUGCAGGGCCUGGAGGCUCCGGGGCGGG
rnacentral:pre_miRNA from 1 species